UGGGGAAUAUUGCACAAUGGGGGGAACCCUGAUGCAGCAACGCCGCGUGAGUGAAGAAGUACCUCGGUAUGUAAAGCUCUAUCAGCAGGGAAGAAAAUGACGGUACCUGACCAAGAAGCACCGGCUAAAUACGUGCCAGCAGCCGCGGUAAUACGUAUGGUGCAAGCGUUAUCCGGAUUUACUGGGUGUAAAGGGAGCGCAGGCGGCGCGGCAAGUCAGAUGUGAAAGCCCGGGGCUCAACCCCGGGACUGCAUUUGAAACUGCCGGGCUAGAGUAUCGGAGAGGCAAGUGGAAUUCCUAGUG
rnacentral:rRNA from 1 species